AACGAACGCUGGCGGCGCGCCUAAUACAUGCAAGUCGAGCGAGAAGGUGUAGCAAUACACUUGUAAAGCGGCGAACGGGUGAGGAAUACAUGGGUAAUCUACCAUCGAGUGGGGAAUAACCAACCGAAAGGUUGGCUAAUACCGCGUACGCCUCCGAAUCUUCGGGUUCGGAGGGAAAGCUGCACUGUGAGUGUAGCGCUCUUUGAUGAGCUCAUGUCCUAUCAGCUUGUUGGUAGGGUAACGGCCUACCAAGGCUUUGACGGGUAGCUGGUCUGAGAGGACGAUCAGCCACACUGGCACUGCGACACGGGCCAGACUCCUACGGGAGGCAGCAGUAAGGAAUAUUGCGCAAUGGGCGAAAGCCUGACGCAGCGACGCCGCGUGGGGGAUGAAGGUCUUCGGAUUGUAAACCCCUUUCGGGAGGGAAGAUGGAGCGAGCAAUCGUUCGGACGGUACCUCCAGAAGCAGCCACGGCCAACUUCGUGCCAGCAGCC
rnacentral:rRNA from 1 species